AAGUGCGCAGGCAUAGAGCUGCGCUUUUGUUCACCGUAGGGAGGUGAACGAAUAAGGGCUGGGCAAGACCGGUGCCAGCCGCCGCGGUAAUACCGGCAGCCCGAGUGAUGGCCGAUUUUAUUGGGCCUAAAGCGUCCGUAGCUGGCUGCGCAAGUCCAUCGGAAAAUCCACCCGCUCAACGGGUGGGCGUCCGGUGGAAACUGCGUGGCUUGGGACCGGAAGGCGCGACGGGUACGUCCGGGGUAGGAGUGAAAUCCCGUAAUCCUGGACGGACCGCCGAUGGCGAAAGCACGUCGCGAGGACGGAUCCGACAGUGAGGGACGAAAGCCAGGGUCUCGAACCGGAUUAGAUACCCGGGUAGUCCUGGCCGUAAACAAUGUCUGUUAGGUGUGGCUCCCGCUACGAGCGGGUGCUGUGCCGUAGGGAAGCCGCUAAACAGACCGCCUGGGAAGUACGUCCGCAAGGAUGAAACUUAAAGGAAUUGGCGGGGGAGCACUACAACCGGAGGAGCCUGCGGUUUAAUUGGACUCAACGCCGGACAUCUCACCAGCAUCGACUGUAAUAAUGACGAUC
rnacentral:rRNA from 1 species